ensembl:lncRNA
UUCCUUUCCCUGUUGCUUUCAUGGUGGACGAGGCUGAUGGAAUUUCAUUACUUAUGAUUGAAAACCAAUGGAGUUUUGAAAGCAGAAAGAGAUGGAAAGGUGCACUCAAAAUGCCAGUAUACCCUCCAGAUGCUAGCAAUCUAAUUUCCUGUCAGCGGUAAUAAAUGGGGAGCCACCCGAUGGCAAAGAUAAGAUGCUAUUUCACCAUCAGGGUUAUCACUUAAUACCUGAUCAUGUCUGUGGGGAGCAGUUGUAUCCGACAGUUAAAACAGGGGGCCUCAACUCCUGGCACGAGAAAUGAUCAUCAGUGUGGAAGAACUGUUAAUCUGUCAAAUCAAUGUGACUUCACUCCAUAGAGAGUUCAUGAAAGGGAUUUGAGUCGUCCCGCUGUGUUAAUGAUUUUCUUUUUAAUGAAACCGGACAGCUCUGCACGUUGUUAUUUUAAAAGGUGUUAUGCAGAUAAGACUUCUUAUCUUGUAAAAUAAUACAUUUCAAAUGUAGUUUGUGUGUAACUGUGUGUUCGAUUAAACAAUUUCCUCUGCGUUUUUUGAGGAAGUGUUUGAAGGGGGAAUGUUACUUGGGUAGAUUCCUUAAGACAAAGUAAGAUGAGGAUGGAAAGUAAUUGCAAUGAACAAAUGCUGACUCAUUUACCAAAACAGCCAGAGCUGCCGUUCCUGAAACAUACUCGGGAUAUUGUUACAAUGAGAAAUGCUUGUAUGGUGGAGCACUUGAGCGUGGGAGUUUACACAAGACGUGGUUCAUAACAUAACGUGUGUUCAGCUAUAGUGAAACCAUGACAGACAGACAAUAAUACACGCUUUGUCUCCCCAGUCCGGAUAAAUCCAUCUGAAAGCAAUUACAGUCCACCGGCCAAUUGUCAAAAAAACCCAAAGAGGCAUCGAUCAUCAUGGGGAAAGGGGAGAGCGACGACUGGGAUGAGAAGCACGGGGACACGAGGCAGACUCAGCCUCGCAAACAGGAGGAGACUGAGGGUUCAAGCUCAGGUAGACAAAGGGGGAACUGGUAGAUUGACAGGAGACGUGGUUUUGAGAAUGUGAUUGACCAAACAUCAAGGCAGUAGAACAUGUGAGACUCGGGAUGUUGUUACUGUGAGAAAUGCUUGUAUUGUCGAGCAGUUGAGCGUGAGAGUUUACAAUAACAAACGCUUUGUCUUCCCAGUUUGGAUAAAUCCAUCCGAACGCAAUUACAGACUACCGGCCAAUUUUCAAAAAGAAGUCAAUGAAGCGUCGGUCAUCAUGGAAAGAUGGGAGAGUGACCAGGGGCCCCCGAUACAGACUCAGCCUCGCGAACACAAGGAGAAGCCAAGACAAUGUUGCAUGUGCUGCUUGAAGUGUCUGUCCACCGAGGAGGUUGUGGAAUCCUGCUGCUCGGGCUUAUGUGAAUGUUUAAUCAGUCUUUGUUCCGAAGAGUGAAUCUCUUUUUGUAAGUAUAUAAAAGUAUAUAAAAAAGGGAAAAAAACUAUUAAAACAAUUUCCUGCUUGGAUGAGUUGGAAUUUAUGCAAAUACAAAAAUGUAACCCCAACAUUUUAAAUGGUGGACGCGGGUUAUUUUGCGUCUUUCUAGCUUUGUAAAUACACUGCAGUUAAAAUUCGAGCACUUCAGCGUGUGACAUGAUGUGACAAUAUUUUUUUUUAUCAGUUAUAAUAUUUUCUUUCUCAUUUUAAUUGCAGAACCUGACCUUGAACAUCUGGACCAGAUUUCCCAGGCUGCGUUGAAUCUCAGCGUCCGCCAGCGGCUUUAGUGUGAUUUAUGCCAUUUGGAGAUGAAAAAAUUACCUUUCAGUCACUUUGAUGAGCUAAUAAACUUUAUACCUCAAUCCAGGAGUCAUUUAUUCACCCAAAUCGCUAUAUCUGUAUAAAACUAAAAAGAUCAUUUUCAUAAAUUCAUUUUUGUGACGGUCUAAAAAUAUUUAUCUAAUAUAGAUAAAUAUGUAAUACAUAUCUGUCCAAAAUGUAAGGGGGGGACAUUUUAGCCAAUUUUGAAGAAAUUGUCUCAAGGGAUUGCCGAGAUAUCACGAGAAUGAACUGGACUGACGACUCCAAAACCCAAAAGUCUGUCGCCGACAUGGAGGAUUAUAAACAAGUGAACCUGACGACGUGUAGAGGAAUGUUAUAGUGAAACCCAAGCAUCUUCUCUAGAGUAAUGAUGACCGGAUGAUCUGGCCAACGGGGGGGGGGCAGUUUGUCUGAAUAAUAUUAAUUACGAGCAGUAGCGGUAACCAUACCUGACGUGAUUUUAUUUUGUUAUUUUUCACUGGGCGAUGUACCAGCACUGCGUUGGUGAAUGACCUGGUCCCCCUGGUCUAACGCAUGCACUCACUCACAGAGUGCGACCCCCAGUGGACUUUUUAGGAAUAGCAGUUUCUUUUAUAAAAAUGCAAUUACAUUACAGGUCAUUUACAUUGCAUUUUUAACCCAUGGUUUACAUCUUGCCCGGGGAACAAUAAGGGGCUAAGUGUCUUGCUCAGGGACACUUCCAGCGAACAGCCAUGAGUUUGACACAUGUGCUUUAAAGGUUUCACACUGCAUAAUGACCAGUGCUUAAUGCUUCUAUCACUAAGCAUUUUUUGUUAAUGUUGGAAAAAGCCAUUUUUGUACUGUGUUUUUACCUCCAGCGGAAGGUGACGGAAAACAUAAUAUGUGAGGUAAAUUCAGUCAAAAUUGAUCCGCUCUUUCGAAUUUUGCAUUGAAUAGGUAAAAAAAAAAUCCACGGGAAACACACUCAGAUUACCAUGGCAGCAACAGAAAUGCGUUGGCUUUUCAUUCUGCAGUGCUGAUGAGGGAGUGUGGGAGUGGGUGAGCAGAGAAAGUGAGCGGUCAGGCACUGGGACAGGUGGAAAGGUGUGGGUGCAUCUGCUGGAUGGAUGCAGAGCUGCAAAGCAGGGGGUAAGUGAGAAUGCGUCUGAAGAAGAUGUGAAUGAGGACGACUGUGACACUGGAAAUCACUCAGGUCCGUGCACCUUUUUGAUAGUUCGUUUUACCUCUGGCUGUUUUAGCCACUUGCCAGCAGUUUCUCUAUAAAGGUAGAUUUGUGUCUAUUAUGCAAACCAAAAAAUGUUUCGAGAGCAAAUUUCUUGCAAGCCAAAAUGUAUUAACUGAGAAUAAAUUAUUUGUUCGUUUUGCUUUUGAAACUAUUGUUUUUGCCUGCAAAACCAAAACCUUUGGUCCCGGAUCAAAAAGUUGUGCGAUAUAUGAGUUUGUCAUUUUCUUGUUCCUUUUGAUUAAAUGAUUACAUUCAAACAUUACAUUGAUAUUGCAUUUCUUUAAAUACAGCUGCACGACAUCUCCUGUCCCUGAUUUCAAGGGCAACACCUGAAGAACCCCAAGGACGAAGUUGGGUGAUGGAGAAAUCCUCAGUGCAAACUCAAACGGAUAGAAAUGCGCUCUUGCCUCGCCCCCGCCCCCCUCACCGACGCUGACCCCUAUCCGACGCCUAUCAUGUACUCCACUUAAUGGAAGAGUGGUAAGAAAAGAGCUGCGGUUUUCGGACAAUGCUUUUACCGUUAAUCACAGCUCAUUUGUGAGCAACAUGAGGAAUUAAGUGCGGCGGUUGACGCAAGUAAAGUUUCCCCCUUGUUGACCGCUGGGUUUAGCUCACGCGGUGGUUGGAGGACCCAGCACAGGUCUACCCUGAAGGCUUCAGGCUACAAGGAUACAGCCUAGCGACUUUGAGACACAGCUAAUAACACACCCUUUGUCUUCCCCGUUCAUAUCUGGAAGCAAUUAGAGUCCAGCGGCCAACAAAAAAAACAAGAAGCAUCGAUCAUCAUGGAAAGAGGGGAGAGGAGCAUAAUAAUAAUUGCAUCCUAUUAGACAUUCCAGAGAAAUUGUCAUAGCAUGAUAAUUAGUUUUAAUCAACCACCACACAGCGUUUGGCAUUGAGGCCAAAAAGUUCAGUUUUGGUCUCAUCUGGACAGAGCACCUUCUUCCACAUGUUUGCGGAAAACUCCAAACAGGAUUUCUUAUGGUUCUUUUAAUAGCGGCUUUUUUCUUGGCACUCUUCUAUUAAGGCCAGAUUUUGGGAAUACACUUUUGUCCUGUGGACAGAUUCUGUCCACCUCCAGAGUUACCAUGCUAGAACAUCAGUGUCCUCAGGAUAAAUGUGACCUUUGGCGAUGAUAGAGGAAAUUACUCAAAUGUACAGCUUGAGAGGAUACAAAUAUUGUAUUUCAAGUGAAAAACGUUUCUCUGCCACUGGAGACAACCUGUCCAAACAUUCCUUUCUUCUAUUAAAUUAUAUUCCAGUAUCACUAAAAUCUUAUCUACAUAUUGAGGGACAUGUUUAUGCUCCCAGUUCACGGUCACAGUGUUCAACAGUUUUAAAACUUAAAACCCUUCUCCCAAAACAGGCUUUAGCAGACCAGUGUUAUUUGGCGGGAAGUACAUUUUCUGUAACAGUGUCAUGUUUGUGCUUCCAACAUGCUAAAGAGCAGAGAGUCUGUUGCAAUGGUUCCCAACCCAAUUGCAGCCUGACGAUGUGCAUCCGUCUACGGCUGCAGAGGUCACACUGAGGGUCACAUGGAAGGUAUAGCAAUGAAGAAAUUACCAUGAUUUCAUUUCUUUAUUGUUCAUGUGUAGUGAUAAAAAUAGUAUUUUAUAUCUAAAAAAUAUAUUUCGGCCAGUGGCCUGUUUUUCAACUUGGUUUUUCACUCUCGGUUUCCCAAUUGAAUAACGGGAAAACAAAUAGUUUCUGGUUUUCGGUUUAUCAAUUGAAAAUAAAGUUGUAAGUUUGUCUCGUUUUUUUGGUUCUAAACGAGAAAACUGUGGUUUCAAUUUAUGUUUUUUAUAGUAAAAGGGACUAUCAAAUAGUGCCGGGAAAUUCAAAUUGUUUUACUGACUCAGUUCUUUGAAUCUCGUUC